GCCACUGCCUAGGUCAAGCAUAUUCACCCACCACACUGCAUUCACUACCCAAAGAGCUGAAAUGGUACAUCAGUAUGCCCAGUUCUUGACUUUUUUAGUACCUUCAUACAUAGACCCAGAAUUCUUCAUACCAUUUUAUUCCUAUGUAAGUAGCUUCUGAGUGUCAAAGUGCUUACCUUUAGUAAAUAUCAAAGGGUCAUGAGCAGCUGGGCAUGAUGGCACAUGUCUGUAACCUUAGCCUUUGGGAAGUAAAAGCAGGAGUGUCUGUAAUUUGAGGUCAUUGGGCUACAUGAUACACUGUCUUAACCCCUCCCUUUAAAAACGCCAUAGAGAAGGAAAAUGUUGAACAAGGGCUAAAGAGCUCAAGAGUAGUGUGGGGAAUUGAAAUGGUCACCAUAGGUCUGUUGUGGUGUUAAGAAAGGCUUGUCAUAACCAGGCUCUCAGAAAAUGCAGGGACAAAAAAACUGAGCAGAGACUGAAGGAAAGGUCAUUCAGAAACUGCCCCCACCUUGGGAUCCAUCCCAUUCGCAGAUAGCAAACACUAUUGCUGAUGCUAAGAUGUGCUUGCAGACAGGAGACUGGCAUGGCUGUCCUGAAAGGCUCUGGCAGCAUCUGACUAAGACAGAUGCAGAGACUCACAGCCAACCAUUGGACUGAGCCUGGGAAGCCCCAGUGGAAGAGUUGGAGGAAGGACUGAAGGAGCUGAAGGGGGGGGGGGGAUUGAAAUAUAAAUAAAUAAAACAAUUAAUUAAAAAAGACUUGUAGGAUGUGUUGGAGGACAGUCACAUAAAUAGAGAGAGAGAGAAAGAGACAGAGGAGAGGAGAGGAGAGGAGAGAGAGAAUGAAUCAAGAAUGUAUUAGGGUGGUUUUCAGGGAAUAACUAAAAGUCACUGUGGUCACAAUUAUGGAUAAAAGGAAAUCAGAUUCUUGGGUACUUUUGAACCAACAGUGAGAACCUUUGGGGCUAGUAUAUAGCUCAGACAGUGGAGUGCAUAGUUAUGCACGAAGCCCUGGGUUCAGUCUCUAAGUACUACAUGACACUUGGCCUGGUGAUACAUGUAAGUAUUCCUAGCACUUGGGAGGCAGGAAGAUCAGAACUUUAAGGUCAUCCUUGGCUACCAUUUGAGGCCAGUCUGAGAUACAUCAAACUGUCUUUUUGAAAAAAAAAAAAAAAGUCUUUGUUACUGGGGAUAGAGCUCAAUGGUAAAGUACUUACGUAGAAAACAGAAAGCAGUCAGGGGAGAGUAAAGCAAAUCUGUGGAUGAUCACUUUUUUUUUUAAUAAUCUAUGAAUACAAUUUUAGAUUUUACAUACCCUUUCCCACCAUCUCUCCAAUUCCAUCUGGAUUUCCCCCAAGGCUAUAGGGUUUUGAUUAGAUUUAGUUAAAGAAAUGGGGCUGUUUAGAUGGUUUUGUGAGUAAAGGCAUUCAGGGCCAAGAAGGCUCAUCUAAGUUCAAUCCCAUGAUUUCAUAGUGAAAGGACAGAACUGACUUUACAAGUUGUCUCUCCCCCUAUACACACACAAUUUAAAAGUUUUAAAGAAAUGUCUAUCUGAAGUUAGGUACCUCUGCCCUUAUCUUGUGUGUGUAUCUAUCAUGGGCAUUUUGUUGCCCAACAGGAAAUACUACUGUAAUUAGACAAUACCCUUUGUUCUUUUGAGGCCUAGUUAUGGCAUCUCUUUUGCAUAAGUAUUUCUGUUUAAUCUUUACUUUUUUUUAAAGUAGGCUGUGGUACAUUUUUAAUAAACAUACUUUGAGGCUUAUUAA
rnacentral:lncRNA from 1 species